rnacentral:rRNA from 1 species
CCUACGGGUGGCUGCAGUGGGGAAUAUUGGACAAUGGGCGAAAGCCUGAUCCAGCCAUGCCGCGUGUGUGAAGAAGGCCUUCGGGUUGUAAAGCACUUUCAGUGGGGAAGAAAGCCUUGGGGCUAAUACCCUCGAGGAAGGACAUCACCCACAGAAGAAGCACCGGCUAACUCCGUGCCAGCAGCCGCGGUAAUACGGAGGGUGCGAGCGUUAAUCGGAAUUACUGGGCGUAAAGCGCGCGUAGGCGGUCUGAUAAGCCGGUUGUGAAAGCCCCGGGCUCAACCUGGGAACGGCAUCCGGAACUGUCAGGCUAGAGUGCAGGAGAGGAAGGUAGAAUUCCCGGUGUAGCGGUGAAAUGCGUAGAGAUCGGGAGGAAUACCAGUGGCGAAGGCAGCCUUCUGGACUGACACUGACGCUGAGGUGCGAAAGCGUGGGUAGCAAACAGGAUUAGAUACCCGGGUAGUC